GCGCAGGCCCCGCGCGCCGCCCGCGAACUGCUGCGGAGGACGAAGGAAGGCGCGGUCUUGGCUCAAUUUGACUAUUGUUCUUUUCCCGGCUGGGUCCCUAAUGAGUAAGAUGAGCUUCCGGGUGUCGCUUGAAAUCCCUUGGGUCUGCCUGCAAAUACGGCCUGUGUUAGGUGUGGUGGCAUUCCGAAUCAACAUGCGUCGGAAGCUGAUUCUGUCCGACAGCUCCAGGUCUACACAUGAGGAAAAUGCUCCCAGAAGAAACUGAAGCUCCAGCAGUUCAUCUACAUGGACGUUCCUUUUGGCUCAAAGAUCACUAUUAACAGAGAGAUAUAACACUCGGGGCUUUCCUGAUGGCUCAGCAGGUAAAGAAAUUCAUCGGGAAGCUAACACAGGAGCCACAGGAGACGAGGGUUUGAUCCCUGGAUUGGGAAGAUCUCCUGGAGGCAGGCAUGGCAGCUCACGCCAGUGUUCUUGUCUGGGAAAUCCCAUGGACAGAGUUGCCUGGCAGGCUACAAUCCAUGGGGUCACAAAGAAUGAUAUGAUUGAAGUGACUGAACAUGCACGCAUAGACACUAGAUACUGGAUUUCAUGACUGUGUUCUCUCUCCAGUGCUGCCAUAGACACCUUCUGGCAGUGGCUGAAGUACUUACAAAAGAAGACUGUCUAGGCAAAGACACAUUCGGUUAGUUGUGAAAUUCUUCUUAAGAGGGGGAAAUAAAAAAAGACGAUUUUUGAGGAAGAGUGAAAAUUUUGUCUGGCACCAUUUUGUUUACACACCACUUUUAUUCUCAAUUAGUCUCAAUUUUAAUGGUGUUUGCUCACUUUUAUUUGCUUCUGAAGGGCACUUGAUCCUUUUAUUGAUAUGAAAGCUAAGCUGAUUUUCAGAUCUUUUGAUUGAAUCUAUAGCCUCUCAAUUAGAUGAAACUGUGGCUGAGCACACACACAUCCCUGAACAAAGCAUGACAAAUUCAGCUUCUUUCUUUGAAAUCCUCCUCUUUUAUCAACAUCAAUGCAUAAUUAUAGCCUCUUACUGUACCUACUCAGAUGCUGAUUAUAUUACAUAAAUGCUUAAAUGGUUACGCAGCCUUCAUGACAUGUUAAUUCUGUAAUAGUGUUCAUCUUUUCAGCUCUUAGCCAUGGUGAAAAGGAAACAUAAUCCAAAAAGAGUGUCUGAUGUGUUAAUCAUUCAUAAAUCUGAAAAAUAUGUGUUUGAUCAA